GCCUGAAACCUCCCAGUAGGGGGCAGAACUUCCAGCAUCCUGAUUCUGUCUUUCCACCAUGUGACUAUUUCCUAUUGACACAUCUGUCAAGCCACUGACAUUUUGGAAGAAAAAUAGAGAUGUGCAUAUUUUAAGGAGACUCUGAAUUUUGUAAAUGAGGUAUGCCUCUGAGACCCGCCCUCCUAGCUGAGGAGACACGUUCCUCAAGGUGGUUUGAACGUUCAGAACAACAGACUGUCUUCUGUGACCAAAAUUGUGGCCAGAGUCCUCUGAGUCCUUUGCUUGACGAGGCCUGAACUUGGAUUUCCCUCUCUGGCCCUGGAGAAUCCAGUCUGAGCAAGAAUCCUGCUUGCUCACUUUAUGGAAAAC
rnacentral:lncRNA from 1 species